UAAUGCCUGGGAAAUUGCCCUGAUGUGGGGGAUAACCAUUGGAAACGAUGGCUAAUACCGCAUAAUAGCUUCGGCUCAAAGAGGGGGACCUUCGGGCCUCUCGCGUCAGGAUAUGCCCAGGUGGGAUUAGCUAGUUGGUGAGGUAAGGGCUCACCAAGGCGUCGAUCCCUAGCUGGUCUGAGAGGAUGAUCAGCCACACUGGAACUGAGACACGGUCCAGACUCCUACGGGAGGCAGCAGUGGGGAAUAUUGCACAAUGGGCGCAAGCCUGAUGCAGCCAUGCCGCGUGUAUGAAGAAGGCCUUCGGGUUGUAAAGUACUUUCAGCAGUGAGGAAGAUGGUGUGUUUAAUACGCGCAUCAUUUGACGUUAGCUGCAGAAG
rnacentral:rRNA from 1 species